CGCUGCUUCUCCAUGUCGUGAUAGAGCGGUGAACUAUAGUUUUAGAAAAUGUGUUGCUAAAUCUCCGCCAAAUGAAUACGCUCGCAUUUGGUGACAGCGGCACACAGUCGCAAGAACUUGUGGAGGAAAUACCGGAGUUCUGGCAGCUUCAAGUGCACUAGAUCAUUCAGUAACAUGGGCGGCUUUGUAGUUCUACCUUACAUCAGAGCAAACUGCACUCGACAGAAAUCAAGGGCAGCCGCACCGUUAUAGCUAAGUAAAUUAAGGACAAUUACGCCGCGUCUUCACACUUCGAGCACGCUCCGACAGCCCAACGAUAGAUAUUUCAAACGCAACCACACUCGGACGAGCAAAUUUUGCUUCUGCCAAGUGAACGUAGCGGGUAUUUCAAGACGCGUGUUAAAUUCAUGGCUGUUUCAUUCAUGAACAUUACUUAAGUGACGUAAAAUUAUCAGUGAGCAAAACAGUUUUUAUCUCAACGCGAGGAAACAAAACCGAAACUAGCGCAACUGUUUUGCUCAGUUGUGCAGAUAGAAAAUGAUCCAAAGCCGAAGCCGUCAAUAGCAUGACGCCAUUUUACAGUUGCGCUGCAUCACGCGCGAGUACGUUGUCGUUGAGUGGUUCUGAAAUCGCUGCGUUAGGGGCGACUGCAACCAGGCGUUGCGGCAAGUUACGGUGGAAGCUUCUGUCCGUGCUGUGUGAUUGCGACGAGGGAGACCGCCGCCAGCAGCAGCGUGUCGCCGAUUUCGUCUUUGCCGACAUCGAGCAAGUGUAGCUCGCCGGACCGUCACAAGCGCCCGAAGUGCUGCGGUUUGCACUGCAUCUUUCAUUGUGAUAUGGGAGAUCGCAACGGACAGAGACGACCAGAUGCAUACGAACGACUACCAGCGGGGAGUGACCUGUGCCAUAUUUCUCUUAACGUCUCAGGUAUUCAAGAAAUGGCAACAGCCAGAAGUCGCCAUCUUAUCCAGCACAUUAUGGGUACACUCUGGCGGCUCCUACCCCUGCGUCCUACCACCACCCUGUCCCGACUACGUCCACUAGGGAGUUGGCAGCUUUAGUGAUGAUGCCAAGCAGGCUGACAGCAGACAGAAAUAUUCAGGUUGCCUUGAAAUUUUACCCAAGCCAUGCACAU
rnacentral:lncRNA from 1 species